GGGGACCCGCAAGCGGUGGAUGAUGUGGAUUAAUUCGAUGCAACGCGAAAAACCUUACCUACCCUUGACAUGUACGGAAUCCUCGAGAGAUCGGGGAGUGCUCGAAAGAGAACCGUAACACAGGUGCUGCAUGGCUGUCGUCAGCUCGUGUCGUGAGAUGUUGGGUUAAGUCCCGCAACGAGCGCAACCCUUGUCAUUAGUUGCUACGAAAGAGCACUCUAAUGAGACUGCCGGUGACAAACCGGAGGAAGGUGGGGAUGACGUCAAGUCCUCAUGGCCCUUAUGGGUAGGGCUUCACACGUCAUACAAUGGUACAUACAGAGGGCCGCCAACCCGCGAGGGGGAGCUAAUCCCAGAAAGUGUAUCGUAGUCCGGAUUGUAGUCUGCAACUCGACUGCAUGAAGUUGGAAUCGCUAGUAAUCGCGGAUCAGCAUGUCGCGGUGAAUACGUUCCCGGGUCUUGUACACACC
rnacentral:rRNA from 1 species